rnacentral:sRNA from 1 species
AUGGGUAUAUUGAGUGAACACAAAUUAAUUCCUUGCCGCUCUUAAAUAUUCUAUUUUCCAUAGACAUUUAAAAUAUGCCUGGCAAUGAAGUUGUCUUAAACAAUGAUCCCUGGCGAUACUCUCAUAGACAUUAAAAUCUGCCUGUCAGGGAAGUCGUCUUGAUUUAACAAAUAUCAUAGAAUUAACAUUGAGAGAUGAUACAAAAACCUCAAGACUCACGACCCCAGCGUAUACUUUGUUGUGCGUGUGGUGAUAAUGACAAUGUAUAUGCUAGGGAAAUGAGUUGACCCCUGAUUUUUGGGUUCAUUAUGACGUCAUGAGGUCAACUUUAACAUGGGACCCUAUGGAACUUCCGGUUGACCUUUGGGGUCAUUAGGUGUAAAAUACAAGU